rnacentral:lncRNA from 1 species
GUAAUUCCAUGAUGGCGUCAGCGGUGCUGUCUGUGUCUCGGGUCUCUCGGCCGCUGGGCCGCUGGGCCGCUGGGCCGCUGGGCCGCUGGGCCGCUGGGCCGCUGGGCCGCUGGGCCGCUGGGCCGCUGGGCCGCUGGGCCGCUGGGCCGCUGGGCCGCUGGGCCGCUGGGCCGCUGGGCCGCUGGGCCGCUGGGCCGGGCCCUCCCCGGGUUGGGGCGGCCCAUGUCGAAUGGCGCCCACGGCGAGGAGGGUUCAGCUCGGAUGUGGAAGGCCCUCACCUACUUCGUGGCGCUGCCCGGGGUGGGAGUGAGCAUGCUCAACGUGUUCCUCAAGUCGGGGCACGAAGAGCAGGAGAGACCCCCGUACGUUACAUCAGGACCAAGCCCUUUCCCUGGGGAGACGGUAACCAUACCCUCUUCCACAACCCUCAUGUGAACCCACUUCCAACCGGCUUUGAAGAUGAGUAAAGAGAACCUGGCCUCCCCCAGGCAACAAGGGACCACAGCACUGGUUUUGGACCCUUCUCUGUGUGGACCACGAAAGCCCAUUGGAUGCUAAGCUCAUCUCUCCUUUCCUCAGAUGGCGACCAUUACUCUGAUCUUCCAUCCCUUUGCUUGUAAGAGGAGAUGGCUUAAAUAAAUAACUUAAACUC